rnacentral:rRNA from 1 species
GACGAACGCUGGCGGCGUGCUUAACACAUGCAAGUCGAACGGAAAGGCCCUGCUUUUGUGGGGUGCUCGAGUGGCGAACGGGUGAGUAACACGUGAGUAACCUGCCCUUGACUUUGGGAUAACUUCAGGAAACUGGGGCUAAUACCGGAUAGGAGCUCCUGCUGCAUGGUGGGGGUUGGAAAGUUUCGGCGGUUGGGGAUGGACUCGCGGCUUAUCAGCUUGUUGGUGGGGUAGUGACUUACCAAGGCUUUGACGGGUAGCCGGCCUGAGAGGGUGACCGGCCACAUUGGGACUGAGAUACGGCCCAGACGCCUACGGGAGGCAGCAGUGGGGAAUAUUGCACAAUGGGGGGAAGCCUGAUGCGACAACGCCGCGUGCGGGAUGACGGCCUUGGGGUUGUAAACCGCUUUCGCCUGUGACGAAGCGGGAGUGACGGUAAUGGGUAAAGAAGCACCGGCUAACUACGUG